GUCAGCGGCGGUUGAAUUGCCAUGGCAAUGCGAUUCAUUGAUUCCAGGUAAAUCAGAGGAACAAGCAACAUGAACAGAAAUAUGUAGAAAAAGCUAUUAUGCAGAAGCAUAAUUGUUGUUUCAGAAGUCCAGCAUCUGGUGCACUUAACAAUAGAGAAUAUAUUAAACUCUUUCCAAAAU
rnacentral:lncRNA from 1 species